CGCUCGCGCCCUCCCUCCCAUCCGCGGAGAGAAGGGCGGGGGCGCGGAGCCCUCCCGCGGGACAGGGGGCGUGUGCGUCCCCUCCGCACCCCUCCCCCCGGCCCGGCUCUCCUGGCUCCCCGAGGCGGGAGUUUCCAGGAAGAGCUCAGAGCGCGGCCGCACCACCGAGCGCACGGAGACAUCAAGUAGUCCCUCAGAGCGACCUUGUUAGAGGGGAAUUCUAGUUGCGAGGGGCUGUCGGAGUUGGAACCCCGAAGAGAUAAGGGGUAGCGGCCCAGCCAGCAGGAUCUCAGGUAGUUAGGUCUGAGCGCCCACUUCCAUUCCUGGAGAAGGAUGUGUGGGGGAGGGGAACGAAAAGAGCAAAAGAGAACAACGUGUUCCCUUCCUCGGCUUCCUAACUCCCGGCCGAGGAGACAGGAGCCCGCCCGCCACUUCGAGGGACACGCUGCGGGCCUCUCAGAUCCCGGCGGGGCGAGGAGGGCCGCGCGGCUGCCGUUCUAGCGUCCGCACCGUCGACGCUGAGCGCGCGGUCAGAAACCCGGGUCUGCGGACUAGAGGUGCUGGGCGCGCGCUUCCCGCCCCUUUUCUGAGCGCGUUCACCUCCCCCUUUCCCCCACGUUCCUCAGCCGCCACCUCAGAGCCUUCCCCGCAUCCAGCUCUCUCUCUUCGGGAGAGGCGGCCCGUCUUGCCCAUCCACUGAAUAACCCCUUCACCCCAGUUUUUUCGACCCGCCUUUCCUGAGCUUCGGUACAAACUCCGCAGCUAGAGCUCAGCUUUCACAUUCCCGCCUCCGCCCUCAGUCUCCCCUCCCAACCCUGAAGCACUUCCUGCAAACUGCCUUGUUCUCGCUCCUCUCCGCCCCGCCGCCUCCUUGCUCUUACUGGAUGGCUGCUCUCACGUUGGCUGGGCGGCGGGUUAUGAUCCUGUAUUCCUGCCUUCCUCAGAGAGCAGCCUCCUUCCCCAUUUUAGAGAUGGGGAAAUUAAGGUCCACGGCUCUGACGGCCUGACCCCUAAAGGCUCCUCGAGUUCCCGAAAUCCAGCACCGUAACUGCCGCUAGAAGGAUAAACCCUCGACUUUCUCUAAUUUAAGCAACCUUAGAAAACCAGCGCCUAAACCUUUCCUCUUAGGACCCUCAAGCUUUCUGACCAAACACCACCAGCCCAGUUAGCAAAAGCCAUAGAAAUAAUGUACAUCGCAGGUCAACUGUGUAACGAUGACUUACGUUAGAAGAAGGGCCAGUGAGAGAUUUUAGCUGGCAUACGGGGUUUAUAGACGUGAGACAGGUUAUCUUUUAAACGUAAAGUCGUUUUUAAGCACGAUGUGUAAUGCUUUCUCUUAGAUUUUGUAAUUAUCCUAUUCGCUGUCCCGGCUCAACACUGUUCCUUAGGGUUUGAGAACAUUUUCAUGAAAUGUGACCCCUCAAAAAAACACCAAACUACCAUUUUAAUUUUAAAAGAUAGCUUUUCCUGGCCGGGCGCGGUGGCUCACACCUGUAAUCCCAGCACUUUCGGAGGCCGAGGCGAGCAGAUCACGAGGUCGGGAGAUAGAGACCAUCCUGGCUAACACAGUGAAACCCCGUCUCUACUAAAAAUACAAAAAAUUAGCUGGGCGUGGUGGCGGGCGCCUGUCGUCCCAGCUACUCGGGAGACUGAGGCAGGAGAAUGGUGUGAACCCGGGAGGCGGAGCUUGCAGUGAGCCG
rnacentral:lncRNA from 1 species